UCCUACGGGGGGCUGCAGUAGGGAAUCUUCCGCAAUGGACGAAAGUCUGACGGAGCAACGCCGCGUGAGUGAUGAAGGCUUUCGGGUCGUAAAACUCUGUUGUUAGGGAAGAACAAGUGCUAGUUGAAUAAGCUGGCACCUUGACGGUACCUAACCAGAAAGCCACGGCUAACUACGUGCCAGCAGCCGCGGUAAUACGUAGGUGGCAAGCGUUAUCCGGAAUUAUUGGGCGUAAAGCGCGCGCAGGUGGUUUCUUAAGUCUGAGGUGAAAGCCCACGGCUCAACCGUGGAGGGUCAUUGGAAACUGGGAGACUUGAGUGCAGAAGAGGAAAGUGGAAUUCCAUGUGUAGCGGUGAAAUGCGUAGAGAUAUGGAGGAACAGCAGUGGCGAAGGCGACUUUCUGGUCUGUAACUGACACUGAGGCGCGAAAGCGUGGGGAGCAAACAGGAUUAGAUACCCCAGUAGUC
rnacentral:rRNA from 1 species